AUCUAGCUGACGAGUCCCAAAUAGAACGAAACGCGCACCCUGGAU
rfam:Schistosoma mattheei strain Denwood, Zambia genome assembly, scaffold: SMTD_scaffold0000061